rnacentral:rRNA from 1 species
GACGAACGCGGCGGCGUGCUUAACACUGCAAGUCGAACGCUGAAGGCCUGGCUUUUGUUGGGUGGAUGAGUGGCGAACGGGUGAGUAACACGUGAGUAACCUGCCCUCUUCUUUGGGAUAACGCCCGGAAACGGGUGCUAAUACUGGAUAUUCACUGGCCUUCGCAUGGGGGUUGGUGGAAAGGUUUGUUCUGGUGGGGGAUGGGCUCGCGGCCUAUCAGCUUGUUGGUGGGGUGAUGGCCUACCAAGGCUUUGACGGGUAGCCGGCCUGAGAGGGUGACCGGUCACAUUGGGACUGAGAUACGGCCCAGACUCCUACGGGAGGCAGCAGUGGGGAAUAUUGCACAAUGGGCGAAAGCCUGAUGCAGCGACGCCGCGUGAGGGAUGGAGGCCUUCGGGUUGUAAACCUCUUUCGCUCAUGGUCAAGCCGCAGCUUUGGGUUGUGGUGAGGGUAGUGGGUAAAGAAGCGCCGGCUAACUACGUGCCAGCAGCCGCGGUAAUACGUAGGGCGCGAGCGUUGUCCGGAAUUAUUGGGCGUAAAGGGCUUGUAGGCGGUUGGUCGCGUCUGCCGUGAAAUCCUCUGGCUUAACUGGGGGCGUGCGGUGGGUACGGGCUGACUUGAGUGCGGUAGGGGAGACUGGAACUCCUGGUGUAGCGGUGGAAUGCGCAGAUAUCAGGAAGAACACCGGUGGCGAAGGCGGGUCUCUGGGCCGUUACUGACGCUGAGGAGCGAAAGCGUGGGGAGCGAACAGG